rnacentral:rRNA from 1 species
CAUGCAAGUCGAGGGGCAGCAUGUUGGUUGCUUGCAACCAACGAUGGCGACCGGCGCACGGGUGAGUAACGCGUAUCCAACCUACCCUUGUCCAUCGGAUAACCCGUCGAAAGGCGGCCUAACACGAUAUGCGGUUCACAGCAGGCAUCUAACGUGAACGAAAUGUGAAGGAGAAGGAUGGGGAUGCGUCUGAUUAGCUUGUUGGCGGGGUAACGGCCCACCAAGGCUACGAUCAGUAGGGGUUCUGAGAGGAAGGUCCCCCACAUUGGAACUGAGACACGGUCCAAACUCCUACGGGAGGCAGCAGUGAGGAAUAUUGGUCAAUGGACGAGAGUCUGAACCAGCCAAGUAGCGUGCAGGAAGGCGGCCCUAUGGGUUGUAAACUGCUUUUAUAGGGGGAUAAAGUGUGCCACGUGUGGCAUAUUGCAGGUACCCUAUGAAUAAGGACCGGCUAAUUCCGUGCCAGCAGCCGCGGUAAUACGGAAGGUCCAGGCGUUAUCCGGAUUUAUUGGGUUUAAAGGGAGCGUAGGCCGUUUGGUAAGCGUGUUGUGAAAUGUCGGGGCUCAACCUGGGCAUUGCAGCGCGAACUGCCAGACUUGAGUGCGCAGGAAGUAGGCGGAAUUCGUCGUGUGGCGGUGAAAUGCUUAGAUAUGACGAAGAACUCCGAUUGCGAAGGCAGCCUGCUGUAGCGCAACUGACGCUGAAGCUCGAAAGCGUGGGUAUCGAACAGGAUUAGAUACCCUGGUAGUCCACGCGGUAAACGAUGGAUGCUCGCUGUUUGCGUCUGACGUAAGCGGCCAAGCGAAAGCGUUAAGCAUCCCACCUGGGGAGUACGCCGGCAACGGUGAAACUCAAAGGAAUUGACGGGGGCCCGCACAAGCGGAGGAACAUGUGGUUUAAUUCGAUGAUACGCGAGGAACCUUACC